rnacentral:tRNA from 1 species
GAGAAGAAAGCAUUAAAUAUGCGGUUAAUUUGAAAUUAGCAGAUGGCAACCAUAUAUCUGCCUUUUCUCG